UACGUAGGGGGCAAGCGUUGUCCGGAUUUAUUGGGCGUAAAGCGCUCGCAGGUGGUCCGUCGCGUCGUGCGUGAAAGCCCCCGGCUCAACUGGGGAGUGUCGUGCGAUACGGGCGGACUGGAGGCUCAGUGGAGGGGAGUGCGAAUUCCGGGUGUAGUGGUGGAAUGCGUAGAGAUCCGGAGGAACACCAGCGGCGAAGGCGGCAUCCUGGACUGGUCCUGACACUCAUGAGCGAAAGCGUGGGGAGCGAUCCGG
rnacentral:rRNA from 1 species